rnacentral:rRNA from 1 species
AUUGAACGCUGGCGGCAUGCCUUACACAUGCAAGUCGAACGGCAGCACGGGGGCAACCCUGGUGGCGAGUGGCGAACGGGUGAGUAAUACAUCGGAACGUGCCCGAUAGUGGGGGAUAGCCCGGCGAAAGCCGGAUUAAUACCGCAUGAGACCUAUGGGUGAAAGCGGGGGAUCGCAAGACCUCGCGCUAUCGGAGUGGCCGAUGUCAGAUUAGGUUGUUGGUGAGGUAAAGGACUCACCAAGCCGACGAUCUGUAGCUGGUCUGAGAGGACGACCAGCCACACUGGGACUGAGACACGGCCCAGACUCCUACGGAGGCAGCAGUGGGGAAUUUUGGACAAUGGGCGCAAGCCUGAUCCAGCCAUGCCGCGUGCGGGAAGAAGG